rnacentral:rRNA from 1 species
GACGAACGCUGGCGGCGUGCUUAACACAUGCAAGUCGAACGGAAAGGCCCUGCUUUUGUGGGGUGCUCGAGUGGCGAACGGGUGAGUAACACGUGAGUAACCUGCCCUUUACUUUGGGAUAACUUCAGGAAACUGGGGCUAAUACCGGAUAGGAGCUCCUGCUGCAUGGUGGGGGUUGGAAAGUUUCGGCGGUUGGGGAUGGACUCGCGGCUUAUCAGCUUGUUGGUGGGGUAGUGGCUUACCAAGGCUUUGACGGGUAGCCGGCCUGAGAGGGUGACCGGCCACAUUGGGACUGAGAUACGGCCCAGACUCCUACGGGAGGCAGCAGUGGGGAAUAUUGCACAAUGGGCGGAAGCCUGAUGCAGCAACGCCGCGUGCGGGAUGACGGCCUUCGGGUUGUAAACCGCCUUCGCCUGUGACGAAGCGUGAGUGACGGUAAUGGGUAAAGAAGCACCGGCUAACUACGUG